rnacentral:rRNA from 1 species
UAAUAAAAUAAGUGCAAGCGGUGGAUGACUUGGCCUGCCUAUGCGAUGAAGGACGAGAUAAUCUGCGAUAAGAGUCGGUUAGCUGUUAAAUGAGCUAUGACCCGGAGAUUUCCGAUUGGGGGAACCAACCUGACACAAGUUGGGUACUCACUCGAUAUUGUGUGUAGAGCUAACGUGGGUAACUGAAACAUCUAAGUACCCUUAGGAAGAGAAAUCAUUUGAUAUUCCCGUUUUAGUG